rnacentral:rRNA from 1 species
UACAGAGGGUGCGAGCGUUAAUCGGAAUUACUGGGCGUAAAGCGUGCGUAGACGGUUAUAUAAGUCGGGUGUGAAAGCCCCGGGCUCAACCUGGGAAUGGCAUUUGGGACUGCAAGGCUUGAGUGCGGCAGAGGAGACUGGAAUUCCUGGUGUAGCAGUGAAAUGCGUAGAUAUCAGGAGGAAUACCGAUGGCGAAGGCAGGUCUCUGGGCUGACACUGACGCUCAUGCACGAAAGCGUGGGGAGCAAACAGG